UUUGCUUGUGCUUUCAUGAAGCAUGAAAAAAGAAGCUGCUUCAGCUGCAGAAGAAGCCAGGUUGAGCAAACUUUAGAGGCAGAGCAAGUGACUUCAAGUCCUACAAUGCGUAGGAGUGCAAAGGGAGCCAGUGACUAGGAGUGUGCUCAGCAGAGUUUAAUGAUUGUGUCCAGUCCUGAGGAAACUCAGCUAAACUGUAGAAAGCUGCUUACAGCAUGUGAAGAAAUGUGCUCUGCAAUCCUGGACACUCCAUUUGAGAUGGAAUCUGAAGUUCUGUGAAAAAGGACCAAAACAUGGAAUAUAUAACACAGGGAUGGUCAAAACUGAGGACAGAAGGUGGAUAGUGAGGACUCUGCUUAGCUGAGGCAUGGAAAGCAGAACAUUAUCCAUACU